rnacentral:tRNA from 1 species
UAUAUACUUACUACAUACUUACUACUUUUCCUUUA